CGGCUAAAGAUAAAACAAUAUUUUUAGACAACAGGACAAUUACUGAAUGGCUUCUACUACCUCCAAGAAUUACUUGGAAGCAUUUAGAAUCUAGUGACCGCUCAGUUUCUGUUAUUCCUGGAAUUUUACUUCUAAUAUUCCUUCGUUUUGUUUUUGAACGUUUUGUUUUUUAUAAACUUGGUUUAUGGUUGGGUAUUCCGAAACCUUCUCAACGAUAUGAGCCAAAUAAAAUACUUGAAGAUGUUUUUCGGAAAAGACGAAGGAAAAAAAUAGAUGGCCUAACAAUUAGUCAACUUUCUCGGUCCACUGGAAAAACUGAAUACGAACUUAAAAUUUGGUUUAGAAAAAGAAACAAAGCGGCACUUACUCCUAAAAUUAAUAAAUUUUCGGAAUCUCUUUUUCGAUUUUU